rnacentral:rRNA from 1 species
UAGGGAAUCUUCCACAAUGGACGAAAGUCUGAUGGAGUAACGACGCGUGAGUGAAGAAGGGUUUCGGCUCGUAAAACUCUGUUGUUAAAGAAGAACAUAUCUGAGAGUAACUGUUCAGGUAUUGACGGUAUUUAACCAGAAAGCCACGGCUAACUACGUGUCAG